rnacentral:rRNA from 1 species
UACAGAGGUCCCAAGCGUUGUUCGGAUUCAUUGGGCGUAAAGGGUGCGUAGGCGGCGCGGUAAGUCGGGUGUGAAAUCUCGGGGCUUAACUCCGAAACUGCAUUCGAUACUGCCGUGCUUGAGGACUGGAGAGGAGACUGGAAUUUACGGUGUAGCGGUGAAAUGCGUAGAUAUCGUAAGGAAGACCAGUGGCGAAGGCGGGUCUCUGGACAGUUCCUGACGCUGAGGCACGAAGGCCGGGGGAGCAAAACGGGG